UGCUUGUUUCUUGGUGACUUCUUGUUCUCUUCCCCUGCAGUACACAAAUGGUGCUGACUCAUGGUAGGAGGAUGGGAUCUGGCUGUCUCCAAAUUUCAUUUUACUGUUAAUAUCUGUCAAGCCUUCAUGGGAAUUACUUUCCGGGACACAUGAAGAACUUUUUUACCUCCCUCAGAUCUUUAACACUUGUGCAUCUGCCAGGAUGGACCAUGGUCAUGCUUGACCCUGUGGCCUCUCUGGGGCGCAUGAGGACACCUACUUUUCAAUGGUCCUCGUUUAGCACAAUGCACAUUGGCUGAUUCAUGUCCAUCAGGAUCCACAGUCCCUCUGCUUCAAAGGUUGAGGGACUCACUGGAGUUGCAGAGCCCAUUCAUCUUGCCUUGGACCCUGGAUGACCUUAGAAGACCAAUCCUUCUCAUGUAAUGCCUAGUGGUGACAGAGAUUUUCAGACUACACAGACAGGGUCAAGAUAUAAAAGAACAACAAAGAAACAGGAGCAGGAAUAUCCUGCCCACGUACCAGUGUACCUGAUGAAAUCAACCUUCCAGACACGUUGUUAUUGUGCCUGUCAGAAAAAGAUGAGCAUAUGCUUCAGCUGGAUUUUUUAAAGACCCAAAGAGAAAUAUUGAUGAAAACAACAAGCCAUCAUGUACAGCAUAUACCUUCAAAGCAGAUGCAGGUCAUGCUUCAAUGUCAAUGUGUAAAAAUGUCCUGUCCAUCACCCGGUGCUCUGACAUUGCUUUUGUUGUACUCUUCUGGGCCUUGUCAUGUUACUAAAUCAGGUAACCUUUUUCAGGAAGAUCAAAGAUUUCUUGCAUAGGAACAUGAACUAAUAUUGACAAAAUCACUUGAACUAAAUUUUUGAUGUGCAAGUUAAGAACUGAUGCAUCUUGCCUUUCCAGCUCCAAAAGAGAAAAAGAGAAGACAGCUCAUCAGCAUUCAAAAUUCACCAAGAGCUUGUUUCAUCAUUCCAUGUAUAAUAUACGUUUUGUAUUUUUCUUCAUAUACAUAGUAGUUACUAAACAGAACACAGAGAAGAAUCAGGCUAACUAUGGGGAGUGGCUGAACUGGAGAUUGACCACACAUUCAGGGCUAGAGAAAAGCCAGUCCAGCAGGUGUUUGGCCCUGGUGUUCCUCCCUGAUAACUACAGCACAGAUAGCUCUGACAAUGUUCCGUUUUCAGUUUUCUCAGUGAAACGCUGAGACCUUGCACUAUCUGCCCCAUCAUGUACUCCCCCCUCUUUCUACUGUGUAUAAAUAAAGACGCAAACCAUGC